rnacentral:lncRNA from 1 species
UGAGCUUUCAUCCUGGUUUACCUCCGCGCUUCCCCCUUGUCAGCCCCGCAGGUGGGCCCCUAGUACCCAAGGGGACUGGGAAACGCCGCAUCGCAGCCGGCCCAGCCAGGCCCUCCUCGCCCCAGCCUUACGGAGCGCGUUUGGCCCGCCAGGCGUUUUUGGUUGUUGUUGGUUUUUUUUUUUUUUUUCAAUUGCAGUUUCUCAGACUUUAGCUUCUGCCUUAGCCUGAUCGAUUUUCAUCUUAAGGUAUAAAUCAGUUUUAUAGCUUCCCGAGGAACGUGGGCAAACCCGAAUCCAGGAGAUGAAAGAGAAAGCCCUCGCGCCCCGAAGCCCGACUCCCAGUUUCCUGAGUGGUCUGAGUCACAUAGUCCUGAACCAGUCCCUGCUGCUGUCUCCUCCCCCAACCUGGUCCGACCUUCUGAUCCUGCUCAUCUUGGGAGUCGGCCUGGAUGCAGAACGUGGGCCUCUUCGACCCUCUAAGCCCCCACCACGGCCUCCUGGAGGCACAGAAGACCUCCCUAAGGCUCUCCCGGCCAUGCGAGACAGAGCCACAGCACCAUGAUUUUUGUCUGGAGAAAUGAGCUUUCCCUCAGUCGUGGUGGGGUUGUCAAUCCAGCUGCCUGCCUGUGAUGGACACAUCAAGGUGGCUUCUCAGAGCGCCUUUCUCUUGAGUACGCGUGAGAUCAGCCGUGUGGAUUUGUCCCAGUGGGCUUGUUGAUAGGAUUCUGGUACUCACAUCCCAAGUGGCCCUGGUUCCUGUCCUUUUCCUGCUUGAUUAUUCAGUUCUUUCUCCUAUGCUGGGAAGCACUCUGUAUUCUCCAAUACACUGGUUUUCUUGCCUAGAUUAUCUGGAGUUGUCUUCCAUUGCUGGCAACCUUAGAACUCUAAGUGAUGGCAAAGGUAGCCUGCAGCUGUCCCUUAACCUGAUUCUGGGCAGGGAGGCGUUGACACAGAACCAGUCGGGCUCAUGGGGUCCCUAGAACCCUGCCUUCCCCAGAGACGGCUGAGAGAGGAGGGUGCUGCUAGCAGAGUCGCUCAGCUGCACUGCGAGCUCCAUCCAAAAUAGCUCCCGCCCCUCUGCUGCAUGCUCUAGGUGGCAUGAAGAAAACACCUUCGUAUUUUGAACAGCGGGUUCCAGAAGAUUCUUUUCACCUUGCCUGUGUCCUGGGUGGAGCGGAGGGAGGUUCUCUCAUUAGGUGGCCAGCAUCCAGCCUGGCCUCUCAGCUCUGACUCCAGGCCAGGCUCCAAGUCUUCUGUCUUCCUCCUUGCCCUGCCCCUUUCUUCCAAAUCAGCUCACCCAAGUAGCCCUGGAGCUGAGUCAGUACCAGCAGACAAGGAGAGUGUAUGGCAGAGAGGAAAGAACCCGAGUCUGACCAAGCUAUUGGCUGCAGCUCUGCAACCUGCAAGAGUGUGGCCAGUUUUGCUCACUGUUGCAUCUCCAACGGAGGCUCUGAGGAAGGGCUCAAUGGAUGGUCAUUCUCGAAUGACCCGGCUCCUAAGGUGG